rnacentral:rRNA from 1 species
UACGUAUGGUGCAAGCGUUAUCCGGAUUUACCGGGUGUAAAGGGAGCGCAGGCGGCACGGCAAGCCUGAUGUGAAAGCCCGCGGCCCAACCGCGGGACUGCAUUGGGAACUACCGGGCUGGAGUGCCGGAGAGGUAGGCGGAAUUCCUAGUGUAGCGGUGAAAUGCGUAGAUAUUAGGAGGAACACCAGUGGCGAAGGCGGCCUACUGGACGGUGACUGACGCUGAGGCUCGAAAGCGUGGGGAGCAAACAGG